GGUACGGUGCGCCUGGCCCGCCUCCGAAAGGAAAGCGAGUGUUGGUGUGCGUCUGCCAUCUUUGUGGGUAAGCUUCUCUUCACUGGGUAGCCGAACCACAUCUUUUACUUUGAAAAAAUUAGAGUGUUUAAAGCAGGCUUGCGCUAUGAAUACAUUAGCAUGGAAUAAUAAUUUAGGACUUUGUUUCUAUUUUGUUGGUUUCUAGAGAUAAAGUA
rnacentral:rRNA from 1 species